GCGCGUUCUCCGGGGGGCCGCGCGCGAGCGGCUGAGAUUGGGGUGAUCCCCUGACCCGUCGAACCUGAUCCGGGUCAUGCCGGCGAAGGGAUGAGACCUUGUUGUGCCC
rnacentral:ncRNA from 2 species